UUCAUGAGAAAGGAUUCGAAAGUGCUUCCUGAGUUUCACACAAUUUUAAAGGAAAGAAAACUGCCUUAAAAUGCUUCCAAAUUACAGUCCAGUGACUCAGGCUUUACUAGGAACUCUAUUUACCUGGGCUGUAACAGCGGCUGGGUCUGGUUUAGUAUUUAUCUUUAGCGGUGAACAGCGUAAAGUUCUCGAUGGAAGUUUAGGUUUUGCUGCAGGGGUAAUGCUCGCGGCAUCCUAUUGGUCUUUAUUGAACCCUGCAAUAGAAAUGGCAGAGAAAUCUGAGUACUGGGGACCAGAAGGCAAACUGGCAUUUAUUCCUGUAUCUAUUGGCUUUGCUGUUGGUGCAGCAUUUGUUUUCGCAGCAGAUAGGAUACUUCCUUAUAUGGGGCUUGAAUCUCCCAGUUUUUUGGACAAUGUGUUAUCAGAUAAAAAAUCCUCACCAACGACAAGGAACUUCACAAAUAAACAUGAUAAAAAUGAUAAAACUAUUGUCAAUCAUACGAGAAGAGAUGAAAUGAAAUCAACUGUUACUCACAGGACUGUGUCAUCCAAACAUUUGGAUGAAGACGUUGAAAAUGACAAAAUUACUAAAGAAAUUACUAGAGAACAAAAGAUAUCCAGUUGGAAAAGAAUUUUACUCUUGAUUAUAGCGAUUACAGUACAUAAUAUACCAGAGGGUCUUGCUGUUGGAGUUGCUUUUGGAGCUAUUGGAAAGACAGCAUCGGCAACGUUUGAAAAUGCAAGGAAUCUCGCAUUAGGAAUUGGAAUUCAAAAUUUUCCAGAAGGCCUUGCUGUUAGUUUGCCAUUAAAAGCUUCUGGGCUGUCUCUUUGGAAGAGUUUCUGGUACGGACAGCUUAGUGGCAUGGUUGAACCAAUAGCUGGAUUAUUAGGUGCAUAUGCUAUAGUGGUUGCAGAGCCACUUUUACCUUAUGCUUUAGCAUUUGCUGCAGGUGCUAUGGUUUAUGUUGUUGUUGAUGAUAUUAUACCAGAGGCACAAACAAGUGGGAACGGCAAACUGGCUUCAUGGAUGUCAAUAGUGGGUUUCAUCAUCAUGAUGUCACUGGACGUUGGUCUAGGUUAAUGGAGGGUAACGAAGAAUUCCAUCCCAACUAGACACCGUAUAAAACAGUUAAUGCAGAUACAACCAAGCUUACCGCAUGCCAAGAAAAUGUCCUUGCAAAUGUUGGGUACUCUGUCUUGUUGGAGAGUUCGGGACUGCUGCACAUCUGAAAAAUAAAAGGGGAAGACAUGAAGAAAGCCGUAAAAUAAAUGGAAAACUCUAGCUUCAAAAGAACAGACGAAUUGGAAAUGAUAUCAAAAAGUAAAGGUUUCCUCUCGACUAUCAAGGAAAAGAAAAAGACCCGCUUUUCAAAGGACGGUCAAGUGGUCUGAAGGAAACUCCUAUUUUGGUCUUCCACGCAUGCGCAGUGGAACACCAGUACAGGUCGUGUUUUUUCUGUUGUUUUGAACAUCAAUGGUCCGUUGCAAGAGUUCACUUAUAUGGUUAUUUAUGCCAACUAGCAAGAUUAUGAAAGAUUUGCAGCACUUUGAAGACUGUGAAGCUGCCAUUUCCCAGUCUUCUUAUUGGUCACGUAUGGCAUUUAGUUUUCCUUUGCUCGCAGUACAUUAUCGAAAGUCGUUUCGUUACUGAGCCAGUUCUUGGACAGUAAACGAGGGAAUAAGCAUGACAACGAGAAGACAACUCGAAAAGAUAUAAAGACGAAAAAGAAGCAAAAAAGAGGUUUUGUUCAAGGCUAUUCCAAACUGGUAAACAGCAUCAUAAAGAUAAGCACCAAACACAGGAGGCUGCAAAAACAAAGGUAACCAAAGGAACAAGCAUGCGGAAAGCGCCGACUGGUAACGAAAUGUUGAUCUGAGGGUACGCACUAAUACUUUACCAUAUUAUUCUACAGAAUAGUAACACGAUAAAAUCUAUGUUCCCGGAUGUCUACAAAACCUGUCUAUGAUUGAAGUAUGAGUUCCCUGAUAGACUACUAAAAACCCUGGCUAUAUUUGGUUGAUUGACUGACAUCUAAGGUCCCGGAUUGAGUAGAGUCUGGCUUUGACUGGUUGAAGUCUGAGUUCCCGGAUCGAUAACAGAGCCUGUCUGCGAUUGGUUGAUAGUUCCUAAGAUUUUCGACAAAUUACUAUCGUGUGGAAUUGAUUUGGUUCGUCCAGACGAGAGAAUAUUCUUCCAACCAUGAGAGAACUGGUCACAGCCCCGACUAAUUAACAUCCUAUGGAAGAAACGGUUGAUAUGGUUCGGACAUGUUGUCCGGAUGCCUGCGACACGCCCAACCCGAAGACGUCUGGGAACCACCAGGAAGAAAACGACAAGACAGACAACGCAUGCGUUGGAAAAACAGAGACCUGAUGGAGUCAUAUACAUGUUAAGAAGGCAGUGAGCGCUGAUCGCGACAGAGCACCUUCGCGGAACGUUGAGCUGGCGCUGUGGGUCGGACCCAUGACAGUCCUAGAUAGACAUCUGUCAAUCUAUAAUAGUGCAUGUUAUACCUUGGUUAAUUGAUAUACGCAUGGUAGCAUCUACCUAGCUAUGGAACAUGCGCAAAUAUGAGUAUUAAAUUAUGCUGCUGCUGAUGAUGAUAGUAAUAAUGAUGAUGAUGCAAAUAUUGGAAAGUGAAAACUACACAUCACUAUACACACUGAGGAUACCUUACCUUUCUUUUCUAGUAAUCCUUGGAUUGCUGUCAGACCUCGUUCAGAUGCACUGUGACUCGAUAUUCCUAGCAGUUGAAUCAAUGAAUAACAUUACAGACUUACUCCGGCUCAAGAAAGGUAGACUUGAAGAAGCCCGCUCAGGCUUCAAAGUAAGGUAAAUCUCAACAGAUUCUUUUGUCCAGAGUUUGCUGCGCAAGACUUGCUCUCACGAAAGUUAGGAACCAGGAAGCGCAUAAGUAGAGUAAUUCUUAACCGUUUUUUUUAAAUCAAGAAACCUCAGCUUCAACAAAUAUCAUCGCCUGCUUCGAUUAUUUGUUGCAAACUACUUCAGAGUAAAUUAACGGCUGUUCGAGAAAAGAAAUUUUUUUUUACCUGCGUUAAGAUCUUGGACCACUAGUUUUCCUGUUGCAAACGCAUCGUUCAUUGUUGUGGCGAUGACCCCAACAGGUCCAUGUCGUACCCAUCCACUGCAAUAUAGACCUAUUGAAAAGAAAACAGCACAUAAGAAAACUACUUAGAAAUAGUGGAUUUCUAAGCUACGAAUACAGAUCGUACGGGCUCCCUGUGGGUUUAGUCGAUUCUAGACAGACAAAAGUUGACGUAAAAAGAGAAAGAGAGAGAAUAGUGAAUAUAUGAAAAAGCAUCUCAUUUUACCAGUGGUGCCAAGGACUCUGCCAUCUUCAUUUGGUAUGAUGCCAUUUUUAUGAUCGAAAGGGACCGUAUCAUCGAUUGGGACGCUUUUGUACCCAAUGCUACGAAACACCUGGAACAAAUAUAAUAAUUAUCAAUAAAACUAAAAACACUUUUGUCAAACAGUUUUUGAACCCUACAAAUCAGUCGUGUGUGAUAAUUCCUCACCAGUCCACAUGGUACAUCUUCUGUUUGCCCGGUCCCUUCAGCACGAGCCACACCUGCAGGAGACUAGAUCAAGAAAUAUAAAAUACAAUUAGGUCCUGUGUGAUUAUAUGUCAUACAGUCUUAUUGGUUGCUAAACAAUAAAAAAAGUGAUAAACAUA